rnacentral:rRNA from 1 species
UACGUAGGGGGCAAGCGUUGCCGGAUUUAUUGGGCGUAAAGAGCGUGUAGGCGGCCGUACAGGUCAGCUGUGAAAACUCGAGGCUCAACCUCGAGACGUCGGUUGAAACCGUACGGCUAGAGUCCGGAAGAGGAGAGUGGAAUUCCCGGUGUAGCGGUGAAAUGCGCAGAUAUCGGGAAGAACACCCGUGGCGAAGGCGGCAUCCUGGACCGACACUGACGCUGAGGAGCGAAAGCCAGGGGA